CGUAUCUAUAUGAGGUACAAAAGAUUCACGUCCUACCCACAAAACGAUGUAUUCUUCAACUAGUGAAACUGAGUGGCGAGUACAACUCCUCCAUGGGCGCGGUUCUGGUGUACCACAACAAUGACUGGCGUGCAUUCAAAGCAGUGUAAGGGCGGUGAAAACAUUUUCAAAAAAUGUUCCAUGGAGUUUUGCAGGAAAAUAUGCAUCCGUAUAUUGCAGCCAAAAGAAUAUCGUUGAUAAAGGUUUCCAGGUGCGUAUCAACCCAAAUUAUUGGAAGUCCAUGCACAGUUUCCAUGGUUACGUGGAGGUGCACGUGGACGGGAUUUGGGGCUCUGUGUGUAACCAAAACUGGACUGACAAGAACGCUUUUGUUGCC